rnacentral:sRNA from 1 species
CUCGUGGGAUGGGCUCCGGAGCAUCAUCCACGGCAGCCGCAAGUACUCGGGCCUCAUUGUCAACAAGGCGCCCCACGACUUCCAGUUUGUGCAGAAGACGGAUGAGUCCGGGCCCCACUCCCACCGCCUCUACUACCUGGGAAUGCCAUAUGGCAGCCGAGAGAACUCCCUUCUCUACUCUGAGAUUCCCAAGAAGGUCCGGAAAGAGGCUCUGCUGCUCCUGUCCUGGAAGCAGAUGCUGGAUCAUUUCCAGGCCACGCCCCACCAUGGGGUCUAUUCUCGGGAGGAGGAGCUGCUGAGGGAGCGGAAGCGCCUGGGGGUCUUCGGCAUCACCUCCUACGACUUCCACAGCGAGAGCGGCCUCUUCCUCUUCCAGGCCAGCAACAGCCUCUUCCACUGCCGCGACGGCGGCAAGAACGGCUUCAUGGUGAGCCCCGGCCCUGGUUGCGUGCGGGGGUGGCGUGGAGGGCCCCUCCCCCUGAGCUGGGCGUCUCUGUCCUCAGGUGUCCCCUAUGAAACCGCUGGAAAUCAAGACCCAGUGCUCAGGGCCCCGGAUGGACCCCAAAAUCUGCCCUGCCGACCCUGCCUUCUUCUCCUUCAUCAAUAACAGCGACCUGUGGGUGGCCAACAUCGAGACAGGCGAGGAGCGGCGGCUGACCUUCUGCCACCAAGGUUUAUCCAAUGUCCUGGAUGACCCCAAGUCUGCGGGCGUGGCCACCUUCGUCAUACAGGAAGAGUUCGACCGCUUCACUGGGUACUGGUGGUGCCCCACAGCCUCCUGGGAAGGUUCAGAGGGCCUCAAGACGCUGCGAAUCCUAUAUGAGGAAGUCGAUGAGUCCGAGGUGGAGGUCAUUCACGUCCCUUCUCCUGCACUAGAAGAAAGGAAGACGGACUCAUAUCGGUACCCCAGGACAGGCAGCAAGAAUCCCAAGAUUGCCUUGAAACUGGCCGAGUUCCAGACUGACAGCCAGGGCAAGAUCGUCUCGACCCAGGAGAAGGAGCUGGUGCAGCCCUUCAGCUCGCUGUUCCCUAAGGUGGAGUACAUCGCCAGGGCCGGGUGGACCCGGGACGGCAAAUACGCCUGGGCCAUGUUCCUGGACCGGCCCCAGCAGUGGCUCCAGCUCGUCCUCCUCCCACCGGCCCUGUUCAUCCCGAGCACAGAGAAUGAGGAGCAGCGGCUAGCCUCCGCCAGAGCCGUCCCCAGGAACGUCCAGCCAUAUGUGGUGUAUGAAGAGGUCACCAACGUCUGGAUCAAUGUUCAUGACAUCUUCUAUCCCUUCCCCCAAUCAGAGGGAGAUGACGAGCUCUGCUUUCUCCGCGCCAAUGAAUGCAAGACCGGCUUCUGCCAUUUGUACAAAGUCACCGCUGUUUUAAAAUCCCAGGGCUACGAUUGGAGUGAGCCCUUCAGCCCCGGGGAAGAUGAAUUUAAGUGCCCCAUUAAGGAAGAGAUUGCUCUGACCAGUGGUGAAUGGGAGGUUUUGGCGAGGCACGGCUCCAAGAUCUGGGUCAAUGAGGAGACCAAGCUGGUGUACUUCCAGGGCACCAAGGACACGCCGCUGGAGCACCACCUCUACGUGGUCAGCUAUGAGGCGGCCGGCGAGAUCGUACGCCUCACCACGCCCGGCUUCUCCCACAGCUGCUCCAUGAGCCAGAACUUCGACAUGUUCGUCAGCCACUACAGCAGCGUGAGCACGCCGCCCUGCGUGCACGUCUACAAGCUGAGCGGCCCCGACGACGACCCCCUGCACAAGCAGCCCCGCUUCUGGGCUAGCAUGAUGGAGGCAGCCAGCUGCCCCCCGGAUUACGUGCCUCCAGAGAUCUUCCAUUUCCACACGCGCUCGGAUGUGCGGCUCUACGGCAUGAUCUACAAGCCCCACGCCUUGCAGCCGGGGAAGAAGCACCCCACCGUCCUCUUUGUGUAUGGAGGCCCCCAGGUGGGUGCACACCUGCUCCCCAGACCCCCACCCCACCAUCCACCCGAGGACUCCCCAUCCCCACUCAAGUGCCAGCUGUAGAACGGUCAACCAGAGGAGGCUCCCCGGCUACCUGCCUGGUGGCCCAGCCCACCCCACCUGCCCUGACUAUACAGGGUCCUCAGGGCCCCUCACUCUCCUUUCUCUGUGCCCGUUUGCACGCUCCCUGCCCUUCCUGGAUGGCCUCCCCUUCCCCCCUCCGCCUGUUGACUCUCCCCUGUUCCUCUAGGAAGUCCCCUAGUCUCCAGGUUGGUAUGGAGGUGGCCACGGGCCCUGGGCCCAAUUCCUGGAGCAGGGGUCAAGAGCAGGCAGCAGAUUGGCAGGUGGACCAUCUUAGGCGCACAUCUUACCCAGAGCAGCUCUGUUCCCACAGAGGAUACGGGGUGAUGUCUGGGUACUUUGUGGUUCAUCACCACUGGGAGUUCUCCUGGCCUGGAGUGGCUUCUCAGCACCCCGGAGUGCCCAGAUGGCCCCACCCGAGAAUGAGCCACCCCAAUGUCCAUCAUGCCAGAGUGGUUGUUCCAGGCAGGACUGGGGCAGAGGCCCAGCUGAGAAAGAGCCUGACAGUGGCCCUUCCCUCUCCCUAGCAGGGUCCCGAGUGUGGGCCCCUCCCGCCUUGCCACUCCCAGGUGUCCAUCCAGAGCCUCCGGGGCACAAGUGCCUUCAUUAGGCUCUAAGGCCCCAGCCCGGCCUGGUCCCCAGCCCACCGGCAUCUCCCCUGCCUGGCCCGUCCUGCCCGGCAUCUCCUGCUGGACUGCUGCCCCUCACCUCCUCACAGGUGCAGCUGGUGAAUAACUCCUUCAAAGGCAUCAAGUACUUGCGGCUCAACACACUGGCCUCCCUGGGCUAUGCCGUGGUUGUGAUUGACGGCAGGGGCUCCUGUCAGCGAGGGCUUCGGUUCGAAGGGGCCCUGAAAAACCAAAUGGGCCAGGUGGAGAUCGAGGACCAGGUGGAGGGCCUGCAGUUCGUGGCCGAGAAGUAUGGCUUCAUCGACCUGAGCCGAGUUGCCAUCCAUGGCUGGUCCUACGGGGGCUUCCUCUCGCUCAUGGGGCUAAUCCACAAGCCCCAGGUGUUCAAGCAGCCCCACGGGGCCGAGCCCCCCUCCUCAUUGCCCGCCACCGCCGACCGCAGGAUGGCAUCCGGCUGCACAAAACCCCGCCAGCAGCUCUCUGUGGGAGGCUGAGCCCGGGACCCCGGCCUCGGAUGGGCAGAGGUGGCCAUCGCGGGUGCCCCGGUCACCGUCUGGAUGGCCUACGACACAGGGUACACUGAGCGCUACAUGGACGUCCCUGAGAACAACCAGCAUGGCUAUGAGGCGGGUUCCGUGGCCCUGCACGUGGAGAAGCUGCCCAAUGAGCCCAACCGCUUGCUUAUCCUCCACGGCUUCCUGGACGAAAACGUGCACUUUUUCCACACAAACUUCCUCGUCUCCCAACUGAUCCGAGCAGGGAAACCUUACCAGCUCCAGAUCUACCCCAACGAGAGACACAGUAUUCGCUGCCCCGAGUCGGGCGAGCACUAUGAAGUCACGUUGCUGCACUUUCUACAGGAAUACCUCUGAGCCUGCCCACCGGGAGCCGCCACAUCACAGCACAAGUGGCUGCAGCCUCCGCGGGGAACCAGGCGGGAGGGACUGAGUGGCCCGCCGGCCCCAGUGAGGCACUUUGUCCCGCCCCACGCUGGCCAGCCCCUUGGAGCCGCUGCCUUCACCGCCCCGACGCCUUUUAUCCUUUUUUAAAUGCUCCUGGGUUUUAUGUCCGCUGCUUCUUGGUUGCCGAGACAGAGAGAUGGUGGUCUCGUGCCAGCCCCUCCUCUCCCCGCCUUCUGGGCGGAGGAGGUCACACGCUGACGGGCACUGGAGAGGCCAGAAGAGACUCAGAGGAGCGGGCUGCCCUCCGCCUGGGGCUCCCUGUGACCUCUCAGUCCCCUGGCCCGGCCAGCCACCGUCCCCAGCACCCAAGCAUGCAAUUGCCUGUCCCCAGCCCCCCGCCAGCCUCCCCCACUUGAUGUUUGUGUUUUGUUUGAGGGGAUAUUUUUCAUAAUUAUUUAAAAGACAGGCCGGGCGCGGUGGCUCACGUCUGUAAUCCCAGCACUUUGGGAGGCUGAGGCGGGCGGAUCACCUGAGGUUGGGAGUUCAAGACCAGCCUGGCCAACAUGGGGAAACCCUGUCUCUACUAAAAAUACAAAAAAUUAGCCAGGUGCAGUGGCACGUGCCUGUAAUCCCAGCUACUGGGGAGGCUGAGGCAGGAGAAUCGCUUGAACCCGGGAGGUGGAGGUCGCAGUGAGCCGAGAUUGUGCCAUUGCACUCCAGCCUGGGCAACAAGAGCGAAACUCUGUCUCAAAAUAAAUAAAAAAUAAAAGACAG